UUUAUGGAGAGUUUGAUCCUGGCUCAGGAUGAACGCUGGCGGCGUGCCUAAUACAUGCAAGUCGAGCGAACGGACGAGAAGCUUGCUUCUCUGAUGUUAGCGGCGGACGGGUGAGUAACACGUGGAUAACCUACCUAUAAGACUGGGAUAACUUCGGGAAACCGGAGCUAAUACCGGAUAAUAUUUUGAACCGCAUGGUUCAAAAGUGAAAGACGGUCUUGCUGUCACUUAUAGAUGGAUCCGCGCUGCAUUAGCUAGUUGGUAAGGUAACGGCUUACCAAGGCAACGAUGCAUAGCCGACCUGAGAGGGUGAUCGGCCACACUGGAACUGAGACACGGUCCAGACUCCUACGGGAGGCAGCAGUAGGGAAUCUUCCGCAAUGGGCGAAAGCCUGACGGAGCAACGCCGCGUGAGUGAUGAAGGUCUUCGGAUCGUAAAACUCUGUUAUUAGGGAAGAACAUAUGUGUAAGUAACUGUGCACAUCUUGACGGUACCUAAUCAGAAAGCCACGGCUAACUACGUGCCAGCAGCCGCGGUAAUACGUAGGUGGCAAGCGUUAUCCGGAAUUAUUGGGCGUAAAGCGCGCGUAGGCGGUUUU
rnacentral:rRNA from 1 species